UCUUCUGGCAUACCUUGUGCAUAGAGUAAUAGAACAAGCUGUCUAUGGACUGAGGCCUCUGAAACCAUGAGCACCAAAUAAACUUCCUCCUCUGAAAAUUUUCUUAUCAGGUCUUUUGGUUGCAGCCCUAAACAGCUGACUAAAACAUACAGUUAUUACUGUAUUACUCAAUAGAAUCCACAUAUAUUUCCCUCAAUACCUAACACUGAGGGAAAAUAUCUGAGAAUUUUACAUCUUCAUGAAAGAGUAUGGGAACCCCAGUCAAGAGUAUGUGUUUCUGGCCUUGCAGAACAAGUUUCUCUAAUGUGUCACAGAAACCAUUCUUAAUGUCAUAUGGGUUUUUCUAAGGUGGGAUCUCAGGAUGGUGAAGACGGCCAGAAUUUACCAGGGAAUACAUUUUCUGUAGCUGAGUGCUUGUGAUCUUUGAUAUAUCUAAGUCCUGGGGAGAAUGGAAAUACCAUGUUAGAAAGAAAAAGGACUUCAGAUUUUAAAGGACACCGGAGAAGCUCUACCACCCUACGGCCCACAUAUGUUAAAAUCUAGGUGGAUUGGAGUAAGAUUUUUCUGGACAGAGUAAGAGAAUAUUAAUUGCACCAAGCAAGAAAGGCAGAGGUCACUAAAAUCAUAUUGCACUUAUAGAAGUGCCACACAAACUAGGAAAUCAUGAGGAAAAUUGUCCGCAUGUACAGUGGGGUCAUCACAACAAAAGUUUGCCAUGAAAGCCUGAUGCCAUAUCUGAGACAUCCUGGUGGGAGAAUUUACCUGAUUUAAAAAAAAAAAAAAAAGACUUCUUUUCACGUAUGGCUUUCCCCAGAAGAGGGAAAUAAAAUAAACACAUAUUUGAAGCCCUGUCUUCAGAAUGGAAACACAUAAAAGGAAGAUUGUGCCACUUGGGCAGAAAACAAUGUAGUAAUAUCUGGUGUAUCUUGGGUCCUCAAAAUCAAUGUUUUUGGCUUUAGGCUUAAGUGAAUUGAUGAGCUUUUAUAAAUAUCUCCAUAUAAAAACUUAUAGAUGCCAAAAUCCUUAAUAAAACAUCUGAAAACCACAUUGAAAAACAUAUGAAGAGGAUAAUACACCAUGAUUAGGUGGGCUUCAUCCCAGGAUGCAAGGCUGGUUCAACAUACACAAAUCAAUAAAUGUAAUCCUCCACCUAACAGAAUUAAGAAUAAAAUCAUAUAAUCAUCUCAAUAGAUGCAGAAAUGACCUUUCAUAAAAUACAGCACUCAAGCACGUUAAAAACACUGGAAAGGGCCUGGGUUGUAUGUCAGUGAUAGAGCACUUGCCUAACAUAUGUGAGGCACUCAUUUUGAUUCUCAGCACUGCAUAUAAAUAAAUAAAAUAAAGGACCAUCAACAACUAAUAAAAAUAUAAAAAUAAAAGAACACUGGAGAAAGUAGGGUUAGAAAGGAGUUACCUCAACAUUAUUAAGGCAAUAUACAAAAAACUCAUAGCCAACAUCAUAUUAAAUGAAAAAAUAUUGAAAGCUAUUCCUCUAAAAUCAGGGACAAAAGAAGGAUAUUGACCCUCACCACUUUUAUUCAAUAUAGUUUCUGAAACUCUAGCCAGGACUAUCAGGCUAGAGAAGAAAAUUAAAGGGAGAAAAAUCAGAAAAGUAGUCAUUAAACUAUCAUUGUUUGCUGGUAACAGAAUCUUAUAUGUAGAAGACCCCCAAAAUUCCACCAAAGAGUUCUAGAGAUGAUUAAAGAAUUUAAGAAAUAGCAGGGUACAAGGAAAAAGGCUCAUUAAAUCAAUAGCUUUUUUAUAAACAGUAAUUCAGCAGAGAAAAAACUAUCAUUUGUACAAUAACCUCAAGAAAAAUAAAAUACCUGGGAUUUAAUCUACUCAAGGAAGUGAAAAACUAUACAACAAAAAUCACUUAACACUGAAUAAAGAGAUUAAAAAAGUCUUCAGAAAAUUAAAAGACCUCAUGUUUUUAGACAGGCAGAAUUAAUAAUGUCAAAAUAGCCAUACUACCAAAGCAAUAUACACAUUCAAUGCAAUCCCCAUAAAAAUACAAUCAAAAGCUUCAAAGACUUAGGAAAAAAAAGGUCCUACACUUUGUUUGGAAGAAUAAAUGAUCCAUAAUAGCCAAAUCAAUUCUGAGCAAGAAAAGUGAUUCAGGAGGCAUCACAAUAUCUUAUUGCAAAUUAUAGUGCAGAGUCUUAUUAGCCACAACAUCAUGGUACUAGCAUCAAAGUAGACAUAAAGACCAAUGGAAUAGAAUAGAAUAGAAUAUAGUGACAAAGCUGAACACUUACAGCCAUCUGAUACUUGAGUUGGAGAACAUAGAGACUUUAUAUUAAAGGCAUUGUGAAAAAAAUGGAUAUGCAUAUGUAGAGGAACCAACUUAUAUUCCUAUCUUUCAUCCUGCACAAAACUCAUAUCAAAAUGGAUCAAAUACUUAGGAACCUUGAAACUUCUAGAAGACAA
rnacentral:lncRNA from 1 species